GUCUAGUGAAUUAUGCACAACUCAAGAUAUAAAGGUAUUUAGUUUUAGGGGUGAACUGAGUGGACUUAUAUUGCAUACUAACAUCCAAUAAAGGUUCAAUGAUAUUUAGAUCUGAUUUGGACGCAGGCAGAUAGCUUAAGCUAAGGUCUUCAGGUAAUGAACAAAACAUUGCUUGAUAAAAAGUCAUUAAUAAAGAGUAUAUAUACCAUUUGCUUAGAAAUGUCUGAUUCAUUUUGUUCAUUUUGAU